rnacentral:lncRNA from 1 species
GGAAAAACUGCUUGAACAUGGAGGAAGAGAACCGUCUCAAACAUCUGCAUGGAAUCUUGAAGAUACUGAAAGGAAGAAAUUUAUCCUGAAAAUGCCCACAGAUUUGUGGAGAAACAGCCAUGGAAAGAAAAACAUUACAACACAAUAUGACAGUCACCAUAACAUAGCUACUGUAUUUAUAAGAUGGAUGAGAGUAUGAGGA